UGGGAUAUACUCCAACGCCAUGCCAUUAGAAGCAAAUCGGUUCUUCUGAAACAGAUUUGCCCAACCUUUAGCUACUUUAUUGGUCCCUUCCUCUGGUUUGUUUUGCUCUGUCACAGGUGUUUGAGAUAGGUUCUGCAUGUAGUCGAUUCCACCAUUUCCUUGUACCAUAUGGGGUUGAGGAAGCAAUGAAACUCCAUCUGCUUCUAAUACCUCAACUGAUUGUGUCAAUGGAACAGUGGUAGUCAAUGGAACAAUAUCAGCUAAUGGAACGGUGUCAAUAGGUUUAUUUACACUAACUGGGUGGUUUAUAGUUGAAAUGAUUCGAUCUAUGGUUG
rnacentral:lncRNA from 1 species